rnacentral:tmRNA from 1 species
GGGGGCGAUCUGGUUUCGACCGGGUAAAGUGAUGCGUGAGCCGCGUGUCGUGGUUGGUCAGCCGGCCACGUUAAAAGCUGACCACACUAUAACUGCUGAAACGCAGUACUCAAUGGCUGCCUAAUUAACGGCUGCCCCAUGUCCAGGAUCUUAGCCUGAGAGCUUCUGGAUCAUGGUCGCUAAAUCAGGAUCGCUGCCACUCGAGGCCGCAAGGCCGAACCCGAGGCGGUGGCAGCUAAAAUCCACAGCGGGUUAGCGCGAGAGCGGCCCUGUCCAUCGGGACGCCUCAAGCGAACACGGUCGGGCAAGCCGGCCAAAGUGGAUGGACUACACACGUAGACGUUCCCGCUGAAGUACCUCGGCACCCGGGUUCAAUUCCCGGCGCCUCCACUU